rnacentral:lncRNA from 1 species
CUUGGCCUCUGCCGUCGCCGCCGGACUCUGCAGUCCCAGACUCACUGAAAAGCUACCAGCUAGACGCGGUCGCCGGACUCCCGACUCUGUGAAAUAUCUGGUGUCAGAAGUGGGAUUCAAAGAUUCCUGCCUAUUCUGUCACCUGUGUCAACCUCAGAGAGCUAGUACCAGCACAAGACCCCUUGUGUCCAAGCCUGGAUUUAACUCAAUGGUCCAGGCUGCUGGUUGUUAAAUAUUGAUAAGCACAUCCCCUGCAGGAAGCCCAUUGUUGCUUUGCUGCUACCAACAGAUCACCUCCCUUCAGCUCUCUGGAAUCAGCCCAGGAACUCCUCCCCACUCUGUCCCUGUAAUAAAUGGGUUGGGGAGGAUGUCAGGAAUGAUCAUGAAAUACUCUUUUUAUAUUUCCCUUGUGCACCUGGGGGGAUGUGGAGGGGAACUAAAACCAAGUCUCUAUGAGUUGUUUGUUGCUCAGUUGUUUCAAGGGUGUCUGACUCUUCAUAACCCCAUAUGGGGCUUUCUUGGCAAAGAUAUUGACACAUUUAGCCAUUUCCUUCUCCAACUCAUUGUACAGAUGAGGAAACUGAGGCCUAUAGGGUUAAGUGAUUUGUCCAAUGUCUGAACAUUUGGGACAAGCUAUAUGACCCUAGGCAAGUCACUUAACCUCUGUUUGCAUUAAUCCUCUGGAGAAGAAAAUGGCAAACCACUUCAGUAGCCUUGCCAAGAAAACCCCAAGGACAGCUUUGGAAUCCUUUGGUCCCAGGAGUCAUGCAGAAUCAGACAUGACUGGACCACUGAAUAACAACAAGAGGUCUUUAAGAGGGUUCCACCAGGCUUCUUCUGGGCACAUCCUCUACAUUCUUGCCCCAGCUAAGAAAUAUGCAGCUCCUGAAAAAUUACACUAGCUACAUCCAGUACACUGGCCUGCCUCCUCCAUUCAAGGAGGUAAUUGUAGAGCAUUUUAGUAAAGCUGAAAGCACUAUAUAAAUGUCAAUUAUGAUUAUGGCUAAUAAUAAGAAUGAAGUAAAAAGCUCAGAUCAAAUGGCAUUUAAUAAGUAUUUCUUAUAUGCCAACACUGUAUGAAGAAUUGAUAAUACAAACAGGAAAUGAAGAAAUUCCCUGUUCUCAAGAAGCUCUCUAUUAAUAAUGACACUAACAAUAAUAAUCAGAAGAUGAGCUUACCUCCUGAUACUACAGAUGAGCUUAUAUUCUAGCACCUUUAAAAAAAAAAAACACCUUACCUUCUGUUUUAGAAUCCAUCAAUACUCUCAGCUCCAAGGCAGAAGAGUGGUAAGGGCUAGACAAUGGGGUUAAUGACUUGCCCAGAGUCACACUGUUAGGAAGUAUCUGAGGCUAAAUUUGAACCCAAGACCUCCUAUCUCCAGGCUUGACUCUCUAUCCACUGCACUACCUAGCUGUUCUAAUGCUUUUAUUCGAUUACAAAAAGCAGUUGUUUUAAGGGCUAGUGCCAUAGUCCAUAGAAUAUUACAUGCAGGAGAAUAAUAAUAGGAUGACAAUUUGUCCAGGGCUGUUUCUGUCUGAAUUUCAUUAAAGAUGAAAAGAAUGAUUUUUUCCUAUAAGAAUAACUCUGUGGUCAUUGGAACACUCCACAGUUUUAGGCAUCAGAUAGCUCACACAAAAUAGCAAAUGAAUUGUCUUUUUUUCUGAAUGCUUUCUGAAAGCUCUUACAUCCCCACAAAGGAUCUACUUCAAUUCCUUAAAACUUUUCCUUCAUCACAGUUUGCACUCCCUAAACCUUUGCAAAGCUUAGAACUUCCCAUCACUGUACGAUGAAAAAUUGAAAUAUUAUACAAAUGGGCAUGAUAAAUAUUCCCUCUUUUUGUAUAAAAAUUUUUUCAAUUGACAAGCAUUUAUUUCCUACCUUCACCCCUUCCCCAGACCAAAAAGAAAAAAUAAACCCCAUGUAACAAAUAUGCA